GCUAGGCGAAUGGGUACUGCUGAGAUUACAGGGUCAGCACAAAGCAGAAUACAGGACCCGAAAAUAACAGCUGCACCGGAAGAAUACUUGACCACUGUUUAAGAAGGAAUUUGACGAAGAGCAGUCACCGAGUGCAGCCCUGGGCCGGCUAAAGGAAAAGAAAAAAAAUCACUCAACUGCCGCUCGGCGGCGGGAAUGCCAGGCGGGUCAGAGAAGGGAAACAGGGUGCUUUGCAGCCGCGGUGCAGGCGCAGGGCAACCCCCUGCCCAGCACUGAAGUCUAGAGCAGGCUCUGCGGGUAAAUAGGAGAAAAUCCUAGUGAGCCUUAUUGUGAUUCAACAUUUAGAAUUUUCCCCCAGUUCUGACCUUGAGAUUUAAUAAAAGGCGUUUUCAAGUUACACUGGUUCUCUUUUCAUAUGGAAAUGAAUUUGGGGUGAUUGUUUUCACUGGUGUCUUAUUACUUUACGAAAUUAUGAGCACCCCUUUGCAAGGAAAAAUACCUUCUGUCCUUUGGAUUGCUGGUUAAAUACGGGUAAUUUUCAUUCCUAUUUAAAUCAACUUGAAAAAACAAAAGGAGGCCACGUAGGCAAAAGUUCGUUUUGAGGAAGGAAGUUCUCCUAAAAGCUAGGAUGGAAAAAAGAAGAGAGAGUGAGAACAAGUAAACUCCCCACAGCUCUAUCCUUGCCUUCAAAAUUGGAACAAGGGAUGGCUUUUGUCUUCCAGCCUUACCAGGAAGAUGAAAGUGAAACAGUUCCCUUCUCUCUGCAGCCGGUCUGCACACGAUGAUCUGCCCAGGAAACUGUAGCCCAUGCCACCCCAUGGUUUGGAGGAACCAAACCCCCAGCCUUUUGAGGGGUGAGACUCCUGGAAUUUUCGUCCCGUGCCUUCGUGGGGAUUUCUCCUGUAUUUAGUAUUUGUUCACCCGACACAGACUUGCAGAGCCUAAUGCAUUCCAGACACUGCGCUGAGUGCCAGGAAUAAAGAAACAUCUGUACCUGGUACAGUCUGGCUGGGGCAAGAAACCACCAACAUGAUAAGCAAAUGAAUGUAUAAUGUAACAGAACAUGGGUUGUGCCCUGAAGAAAAAUAAAGACUGACCAGGAAAGGGGAUGGGAGUGGGGAGAAAAACCAUAUUAAACUGAAUUAUACCUUCCACCUUACCU
rnacentral:lncRNA from 10 species